rnacentral:rRNA from 1 species
UACAGAGGUGGUAAGCGUUGUUCGGAAUUACUGGGCGUAAAGGGCGCGUAGGCGGUCUUAUAAGUCUCGUGUGAAAUCCCUCGGCUUAACUGAGGAACUGCACGGGAUACUGCAAGACUUGAGAUCGGGAGAGGGAAGCGGAAUUCCGGGUGUAGCGGUGAAAUGCGUAGAUAUCCGGAGGAACACCGGUGGCGAAGGCGGCUUCCUGGACCGACACUGACGCUGAGGCGCGAAAGCUAGGGGAGCAAACGGG